rnacentral:lncRNA from 1 species
GAGAAGCUGGGAGUUCUGAAACAGAGUUGUCUAUAUGGGUCUUCACUGACAUCCUGAAUCCAAGUUUCUCUUUCAGAAUACUUUGCUUUUACCUGCAGUAGGAGAAGCCUGACAGCACAGAGGACAACUGUCAGGGGAACACAUGCUGCAGAUGCCAUUAGAGGGCUGUCAGAGGCUCACGGCUGGGAAUAGCUGAUUUAGGCUUGUUUGGGGGGACUGUGUCUGCUUGAGGCUAAAGGAGAACAUGUGGGAGAGCUCCUCAGAGAUUUCUUCUGCUCUGUAUAAGCCACUGGAACAAAAGGUUUCUGAACAGAAAACUGGAUUCAGAGCUGGAGAAAGCAGGAGGGAGGAGCUGCUGUACUUCUUGUUGGGUAAAUGCCCCUUGCUGUUGCCUGCUGGUGGCUGCCUGAUAAUCUUGUCUGAGUUGUGGUCAGAGUAUGGCUCAUGUAGGGGCAGAGGAAGUAUGUUAAAUCCAAGUAAGUUCAUGAUACACUGGAAAGUUGGGAGCCGCUAA